AGACAGCGGGCCAGCAGACCAGCCCGAGUCUUCACGUCCUUAAGGGAGAAGAUUUUCUCACUCUAAUCACUGGACAGGAAGAACAACUCCCCACCUGCCACCACUCUGCCCGCCGUUGCCAUGGUGAUGCCCUUCUUCCUCCUCGUGCUCAGUGCAGCUCUCUGCACAUCGGCCUUCCCCAGUC